rnacentral:rRNA from 1 species
GUGCACCAGUCGAGAAUACUUUACAAUGUGCGAAAGCACGAUAAGGGAACUCUGAGUGCCUCCUAAGGAGGCUGUUCUGAUGUCUAAAAAGCAACAGAAGUAAGGGCUGGGUAAGACCGGUGCCAGCCGCCGCGGUAACACCGGCAGCCCAAGUGGUAGCCACGUUUAUUGGGUCUAAAGCGUUCGUAGUCGGCCAGGUAAGUUCCUUGGUAAAUUUAGCCGCUUAACGGUUAAGCUUUCAGGGAAUACUGCUUGGCUUGGGACUGGGAGAGGUCAGAGGUACUCCGGGGGUAGGGGUGAAAUCUAUUAAUCCCUGGGGGACCACCGGUAGCGAAGGCGUCUGACCAGACCAGGUCCGACGGUGAGGGACGAAGGCUAGGGGCGCGAACCGGAUUAGAUA